GAUGAACGCUGGCGGCGUGCCUAAUACAUGCAAGUCGAGCGAACAGAUGAGGAGCUUGCUCCUCUGACGUUAGCGGCGGACGGGUGAGUAACACGUGGAUAACCUACCUAUAAGACUGGGAUAACUUCGGGAAACCGGAGCUAAUACCGGAUAAUAUAUUGAACCGCAUGGUUCAAUAGUGAAAGACGGUUUUGCUGUCACUUAUAGAUGGAUCCGCGCCGCAUUAGCUAGUUGGUAAGGUAACGGCUUACCAAGGCAACGAUGCAUAGCCGACCUGAGAGGGUGAUCGGCCACACUGGAACUGAGACACGGUCCAGACUCCUACGGGAGGCAGCAGUAGGGAAUCUUCCGCAAUGGGCGAAAGCUUGACGAAGCAACGCCGCGUGAGUGAUGAAGGUCUUCGGAUCGUAAAACUCUGUUAUUAGGGAAGAACAAAUGUGUAAGUAACGAUGCACGUCUUGACGGUACCUAAUCAGAAAGCCACGGCUAACUACGU
rnacentral:rRNA from 1 species